rnacentral:rRNA from 1 species
UACGUAGGGUGCGAGCGUUGUCCGGAAUUAUUGGGCGUAAAGGGCUCGUAGGCGGUUUGUCGCGUCGGGAGUGAAAUCCACUGGCUUAACUGGUGGCUUGCUUUCGAUACGGGCAGACUGGAGGUAUGCAGGGGAGAACGGAAUUCCUGGUGUAGCGGUGAAAUGCGCAGAUAUCAGGAGGAACACCGGUGGCGAAGGCAGCACUCUGGGACGUGACUGACGCUGAGACGCGAAAGCGUGGGGAGCAAACAGG